AGUGAACGCUGGCGGUAGGCCUAACACAUGCAAGUCGAACGGCAGCACAGUAAGAGCUUGCUCUUACGGGUGGCGAGUGGCGGACGGGUGAGGAAUACAUCGGAAUCUACUUUUUCGUGGGGGAUAACGUAGGGAAACUUACGCUAAUACCGCAUACGACCUACGGGUGAAAGCAGGGGAUCUUCGGACCUUGCGCGAUUGAAUGAGCCGAUGUCGGAUUAGCUAGUUGGCGGGGUAAAGGCCCACCAAGGCGACGAUCCGUAGCUGGUCUGAGAGGAUGAUCAGCCACACUGGAACUGAGACACGGUCCAGACUCCUACGGGAGGCAGCAGUGGGGAAUAUUGGACAAUGGGCGCAAGCCUGAUCCAGCCAUACCGCGUGGGUGAAGAAGGACUUCGGGUUGUACAGCCCUUUUGUUGGGAAAGAAAAGCAGCAGGUUAAUACCCCGCUGUUCUGACGGUACCCAAAGAAUAAGCACCGGCUAACUUCGUG
rnacentral:rRNA from 1 species